AAGGAAUAUUGGGCAAUGGACGCAAGUCUGACCCAGCCAUGCCGCGUGCAGGAAGAAGGCGCUAUGCGUUGUAAACUGCUUUUGUACGGGAAUAAACCCCUCUACGUGUAGAGGGCUGAAGGUACCGUAAGAAUAAGCACCGGCUAGCUCCGUGCCAGCACCCGCGGUAAUACGGAGGGUGCAAGCGUUAUCCGGAUUCAUUGGGUUUAAAGGGUGCGUAGGCGGAAAAGUAAGUCAGUGGUGAAAGCCCGCAGCUCAACUGCGGAACUGCCAUUGAUACUGUUUUUCUUGAGUACGGUUGAAGUGGAUGGAAUGUGUGGUGUAGCGGUGAAAUGCUUAGAUAUCACACAGAACACCGAUUGCGAAGGCAGUCCACUAAGCCGCAACUGACGCUGAGGCACGAAAGCGUGGGUAGCGAAC
rnacentral:rRNA from 1 species